ensembl:lncRNA
GAAGGUUAAAAACAUGUUUUAUUAAAUCACAAAUAAGCAACAAAUCGUGUUCACCGAACCAUAAAAAAAUAAAAAAUAAAAACGUUCACAUACUUAAGGUUGAAACAUCUUCAGACUGGUAUUUGGUAUGUAGACCCUCAAUCCUCAUUCUGAAGCUGCGAGAGAGCAAAAUGUGCCAUCGAUCUGACAGUGAGAUUGCAGAUCUAGGAUCAGUUUGAACUUUAAGAUCACAGAUCCUGAGAUGCAUUGCCCCUGAACAGAAAACAGUGCCGUAAAAUGACCAGAUGCUGGAGGAAGAUAAAAGACAACAUUCCUAAUUACGAUUAUUUUAAUAAGACAAAUGAAAGUAACAUAAAUAGGUAAAAAUGUGCACCUCCCUAUCAACUGGUAAUAAAACAACACAAAAAACAAACAAAAAAAAAUAGGAUUUGAGCGGGCACAAACAUUUCAGUUAGAGACAAAUCCAAAGUUCACCCGGAAUCCACAUUUCCUCACUCCUAUUAAGCAAGGAACAAUCAGAAUAUGGAUUCUGGUUCGCAUUCUCAAUUGUCUGGAACUGAAAUGCAACUGGAACUCAGCUUUUGGGAGAAUGUAUACGCCCUAAUCUCCCAACCCUGUUCAUUAGGUCAGGGAUGACGAAGAAGAUGACGAAGAAGAUGACAAGAAGAAGCUUCAGACAACACCUCCUCUCGGCUUGGGCUCAGUUCUGCCACGACCCGGUUUCCCGAAAGGUUCGGUUAAAGCUAUGAACGGAACCUCUUCGACGCUUUUAGGAAAGAGGCUCCAGCGGUCUUCUGUUCAGUCCAGCUGGGCUUCAGAACAGCUGCCCUCUGUAGGGGGGGGGGGGGGGGGCGGGGUCAGGGAGAGGGAGGCGGGGUGAGUGUAGCCCCCCCCCCUCCACAGUGGAGGGAGGUAAGGGGUUCCCUUCAGGCCAGACCUUCCCAGGCGUCAUUCCGCUGUUUAGCCGCCAGGCGCUUUUUCUCUAGGAGAGGAUGGAGACGGCAUGUUGACGCCAACGCACUGACCAACACAAUUUAACAAAGCCAACAGGAACUCAUAGGUUCUUAUUUCAGUCAUUUGGCAGACACUCUUAUCCAGAGCGACAUACAUUCAUCUUAAAAAUCACACAAUUCAGUGAUACUGAAUGGAUUAGCUGUUCUACUGAUCACCAAUCCCACCAGUAAUUCAUAUUAAUACCAAUACUUGUCAUUCCAAUGCCUUAUUCUGGUUACUGAAAACAUUUGGAAUGUAUGUGUACAUCCUGAUUGACUGGAAUUUAAAUGAAUGGACCCCUUCCCUGGCUAUAAGCUUACAAUCAACAAAUACUAUACCAUAAAUACCCCAUUAAAGACUUCCAUUCACAUUCUUUUCUACUUUGUCUUAUUUAACUGUCUCAGUACAGAUUACAUAAUUAUAAAUAAUAAUCCAAAACAUAAGGACUUAAAGGAGGGUUGAUUUCCUAACCUUUACGGUAAUGUUGUCAACUUUAGUGAACGAGAAUUAGUAACACAAAAAGUGGACCACCCAACAACGGACUGGCGGGUGGAGGUAAAACAGCUACGGGGGUUGGCUCUUUAGGGCUGCUGAAUGAAGCCACACGUGAUCUUUGGUGAACACAAUCAUCCUUAGACUGACUGUCAUCACAGAACCUUGUGAAGGUUCCCACAGUCAGAUCGAUCUAAAGGAGAACAUCCUGAAGGUUCCAGGGACAGCAGUGAAGAGGUCAUUAUGCCGGGAACAGAGGCUUUUUUUUCUCUCCACUUUCUCAACUUCCUGCUUCGGCCCUCAUCUUGUUUCUCCUUCUCUCUCCCUUAUGGCCAGAUAGUGGACUGGACCAUUUGUCUUUCUCCUUCCCUUUCCCUCCUCCUCCCUCCCUCCAGGCCAGAUAGUGGACUGCUCCCUAUGGCUUUUUUAAUGUAUAUACUUAUAUCCACUAGGAGGGACAUGUAAGUAUAUAAAACCGGGAAAUGAUAGAGUAGAGGUUCUGCCCGGCAACACAGGGUGGUGAGGGAGGACUACGGAGAC